rnacentral:rRNA from 1 species
GAUGAACGCUGGCGGCGUGCCUAAUACAUGCAAGUCGAGCGAACAGACGAGGAGCUUGCUCCUCUGACGUUAGCGGCGGACGGGUGAGUAACACGUGGAUAGCCUACCUAUAAGACUGGGAUAACUUCGGGAAACCGGAGCUAAUACCGGAUAAUAUAUUGAACCGCAUGGUUCAAUAGUGAAAGACGGUUUUGCUGUCACUUAUAGAUGGAUCCGCGCCGCAUUAGCUAGUUGGUAAGGUAACGGCUUACCAAGGCAACGAUGCGUAGCCGACCUGAGAGGGUGAUAGGCCACACUGGAACUGAGACACGGUCCAGACUCCUACGGGAGGCAGCAGUAGGGAAUCUUCCGCAAAGGGCGAAAGCCUGACGGAGCAACGCCGCGUGAGUGAUGAAGGUCUUCGGAUCGUAAAACUCUGUUAUUAGGGAAGAACAAAUGUGUAAGUAACUAUGCACGUCUUGACGGUACCUAAUCAGAAAGCCACGGCUAACUACGUG